rnacentral:rRNA from 1 species
AUUGAACGCUGGCGGCAGGCCUAACACAUGCAAGUCGAGCGGGGUUUUCGGACCUAGCGGCGGACGGGUGAGUAAUGCGUAGGAAGCUGCCCGAUAGAGGGGGAUACCAGUUGGAAACGACUGUUAAUACCGCAUAAUGUCUACGGACCAAAGUGUGGGACCUUCGGGCCACAUGCUAUCGGAUGCGCCUACGUGGGAUUAGCUAGUUGGUGAGGUAAUGGCUCACCAAGGCGUCGAUCUCUAGCUGGAUUGAGAGGAUGAUCAGCCACACUGGAACUGAGACACGGUCCAGACUCCUACGGGAGGCAGCAGUGGGGAAUAUUGGACAAUGGGCGCAAGCCUGAUCCAGCCAUGCCGCGUGUGUGAAGGAGGCCUUCGGGUUGUAAAGCACUUUCAGCGAGGAGGAAGGGUGGUGUGUUAAUAGCACAUCAUUUUGACGUUACUCGCAGAAGAAGCACCGGCUAACUCUGUGCCAGCAGCCGCGGUAAGAC